UGGGAAUUUCCAACUGCAUGCACAUCCUGACUCCUCCUCCUCCUCCUCCAGUUUUCUUGUGACUGUUGUCUCCUCAUGUCCUAGGGUGGCUGGCAACCAAUGCCUUGUACUGUAUUUUCCAACUGGCAACCAACAGAGGGUGCUGAAAUGACCCAGAUGUUCCUCAAAAGCUCAGAACAUACUUCUUGCAGCAACACAAAGCAGGAACAGUAAUACAGGCCAAUCUUUCAAUAGGAAACAUACUUGACACAUGCUGGAAAUGGAGAGCUGGCAAGUGGUAUCGAGGUUCCACACUCCAGUCUGAAGACAUGAGGCACUUAGGACCUCAAGACAGCCCAGGAAAUAAAGCAGAUGAGUAUGAACAUGA